rnacentral:rRNA from 1 species
GGAGAUUCAUCGUCAGGGUGUUUGUUAUUAAAUUCAAGUUAUGAUAUGGUAAAUAAUCCUUGUGGUUAGUAUAUUGUACGUGCUUGUAUUAUUUUACCAAAUAGUCGGGGGGGCCUUUUCCCUUUAUUAAAACGUUGGACCCCGUUGGAGGUUAAUUUUGGGCCGAAUGGGUUGCCUUGGAUUUCGGUUUCCAGUAAUUAAAGACCAUUAGUGUUCCUGAUCGGCUGUUUGACGGUACUCGUAUGGUAAUAAGUCGCAGUUUACUGCGUUAAAUCCGUUACAAGUGCGAUUAAUACUCGGCAGUGUGGAUCUAAUGCCAUCGCUAAAAUUAAUCAACUGUUGGUAAGCGGUAUUCUUUAACUGGCUUUUUACCGGUCAGCAACGCUACUGCUUUGGGUACUUUCAGGACCCGUCUUGAAACACGGACCAAGGAGUCUAACAUGUACGCAAGUCAUUGGGAUUUUUUUAAAACAAACCUAAAGGCACAAUGAAAGUAAAGAUUGUCUUAUGAUAAUUGAGGGAAGAUGAGUUACACCACGAUGUAAUUUCGCAUUCCCGGGGCA